rnacentral:rRNA from 1 species
CACGGGGGGAGCAAGCGUUGUUCGGAAUCACUGGGCGUAAAGCGCGUGUAGGCGGCCAAGUAAGUGGGAUGUGAAAUCCCCCGGCUUACCCGGGGACCUGCAUCUCAUACUGCUUGGCUUGAGUAUGGGAGAGGAUGAGGGAAUUCCUGGUGUAGCGGUGAAAUGCGUAGAUAUCAGGAGGAACACCCGUGGCGAAGGCGGCCCUCUGGCUCGACCCUGACGCUGAGAGGCGAAAGCGUGGGGAGCGAACGGG